GCCGUGGGAGAGUACGGACGCACGAUAGCUGGCUCCCCUGCCACCUUUCCUUCACACGCAGACCCAAUAAUAUAUACCCUUCGUCUUGAACAUUACGAUGGAAGGUUUGGGUGCGCAUGACUCGUGCUCGUACUAUGUUGGAAGUCAGUGUUAAUCUGGGAAAGGACAGGAUUUUUCUUUAGGUACCAUGAUUCGAGUGCAUAAACCAUUUAAGUGCCCAAGUUUAAUGGGAAACCUGUGUCGUGGAGUCGAAGUGAUCAAACUGAACUUCAUAUCCGUCGCUGGUGAUAUAUUUUAUGGAAAUGAUGACUCCUUGGCUUACGCACUGGAAAAGAAAGUUCGGCAAGAUCAGCAGAAGCUGACCUUCAAGACGAAUUGACGAAGAUGAAAAUUCUCACCAAGACAUGCCUUCGCCAGCCACGGAAAAUGUGCUUGAGUUCAGCAGUGUAGAUUAAGUGAAGAUUGUCCCUGAAUCUCACUAGGACAAACAUAAAGAACAUAAAACAUAAAACAUAAAACUAGUUUCUUCCACAGGAGGGGAGAGGGGAGACCUUUCUCCCCAUCCUUCAUUAACUACCCAGAAAAAAUCGAUUAACGAUGCAUCGUGUGUUUUUUUAAUCUUAUAAUCGCUUUAUCGUGACUGUUAACGUGGAAUACGAGGAACCUGAAGAACGAGUGUGGCACACAAACCCUGCGGCACGAGUGUGUAAAACGUAAGCCCUAAUAAACGAGUGAAAGAAAAGUGUUAAUAAACGAGUGUGUGAAAUACGUCAUCCCAAAAAAGUUUGGGGGAUACGCAAACCCUGACAAACGAGUGUGGCAUAUGUAGACCCCCGAUAAACGAGUGUGGGGUACGUGGGCCGUGAUAAAUGAGCUGGAAAUACGUUAACCCUGAUAAACAGUGAGUGUAGGAACGGUAAGUCGUAAUAAGGUAGCAGGUGCUACGUAAGCCCUGAUACACGAGUGGAUUAACGAAGAGAGUGAAACGAAAGGCGGAUGAAGAGACUUAGAAAACUUACUGCUGCGAGCAUUAAACUUGAUCCAACUUCAGAUUACUCGAGUGCUCAGCGGAUGCAAAAUAACUGGUGAAAUUAAACAAACUGCGGUAAGCACUAAUGUGAUCCCGCAGCUGAGAAAAUAAGAAAAAAUAAACACGUACAGGAGACGAAAAAAAAAAUUAGUGUUUGAAGUUUGCUCUUAAGCAGAGCGCCUCGCAGAUAAAGCCCUCGGCCAGGACCCGCUGGUGCUCAGGAUGAAGCUCUCUGGUGACAGUCCGUGGAGCGUGAAGGUCUUCCUCCUGCUGGUUCUCCUGCACCUCAGUGGCGCCCUCGCUUACUCCUACUGGGGACAGCACCGAGGAGGGAUGAAACACUCCGGGCGGAGGAACCUUGGGAGACACAGACGGAAGGAUGCUCACUUGGCUGCUGCUGAGGUUCCUUACUUCGACCCGACUUCUCCCACCCAAAUCAAGGCUCAACUGGGCUCCAACGCUUAUCUGCCCUGUAAGAUAAAGAACCUUGGAAAUAA